CCAAUGAAACGGCCCAUUCAACAGCAAAUUGUCGGCAGUUGGAUCUGCAGUUUCUACAGACAUUGUGAUUCACCAAUCAAACACCGGACUCUGAAUGAGGCGAUUUCCUGUACAAGCUUCGGAUUUCAGAGGCAGCAGAGGUUGUAAGGCUCUAUAAACAUGGUGAAGAUAUUCAUUGGAAAUCUCGCUCAGGAAGCAGACAAGGAGGAAAUUCAGGCUCUCUUUGCAGAAUAUGGCACAGUGACAGAAUGUGCCAAGUACAAGAACUAUGCCUUUGUCCAUAUGGACGACCGCAAGUCUGCCACCAAAGCCAUACGGACCCUGCACCUUCAUAAACUGCAUGGUCGACCAAUAAAUGUGGAGCCUAGCCGAGGAAAGAACCAAGCCCCAGUCAAACUUCAUGUGGCAAAUGUAGAGAAAGGCUUUGAUGAUGAGCUCCGUGCGCUGUUCGAAGAGUAUGGCACAGUCACAGAGUGCGCUAUCGUCAAAAACUUUGCAUUUGUCCACAUGUCCAACUCCGAUGAGGCAAUGGAUGCCAUAAAGGGCUUGGACAAUGCUGAAUUUCAGGGCAAACGGAUUCAUGUACAGAUAUCAAAAAGUCGACCCCGAGGCGAAGAAGAAGACUACCCACCUCCUCCAGACAGAGCAGGUUACUGGCCCCUCCAUUACCCUGGGGAGAGGCCUGAGCCCCCAUUCAGAGGCCGCCUUGGCUACCCUGCUCCUCCUCCCCCACCGCCCCCUCCCCUUAGACGGGCCCUAUAUCCAGAGCGAGCCUACGAGCGCGAGAGAGAUGGUGGCUACGGGGUGGUGGAUUACUACGAGAAGUACAGAGCUCGCCCUUACGGCCUUGCGUCCUAUGAAGAUAGGCGUAUGGGAUCCAUCCCACCCCCACCACCUCCUGCCUCCGCCCUGGUCAGGGAGCGCCUCGCUGCGUCCUCUCCCCUCGACCCGUACGAGCGUCGCCCCAUCCCCCCUCCCCCUCCGUCUUCGUACUACGCUCGGGACCGCAGUCCCAUCAGGAGAGCCCUUCCUCCCCCUGUGUCCUCAGCUGGUAAUGGCUACGCGUACGAGCGCUCCCGACUCUCCCCAGCGCCGAUGUACGGCCCUCCUCGCCCCAGGGACCCCUACGCGGACAGGGUGCCUCCGCCUCCACCGCGCUACCCCUACUAGACAGACUUACGGGUGUUUGUGUAAUUCAAGGUUGUUAGAACCGUGAUCUGUGGAUAGGUGUCGUUGAAACACCGCAGGAGACAGCAGCACAGUGGAAACAGGCCAGUGCAGGCCUAUGUACGUUGAUGAAGGCAGGCCUAGAUAUUGUAUCAGAUUCAUACCAAGGAGGAUGCGACUGUCUAUGAUGCUGAAAUGUCUGCUGACCAGACGUUUUGAUAUCUGAAGUCAAGUACUACCCUUAAUUGGAAAACUACAAUACAGUUUAGUUUUCCAGAAACAGCUUUCAAAUGACUUGCAUAUAAGGGCUCAUACAGUAUGCCAAGAUGAAAAGAGUUUCACAGUAUGGGAACUAGAAAGCUUUUCUGGCUAUUCGGACCUACAACUGUACAAUGGAAAAGGCAUCAACUGCAAAGAUGAUAGUACAGUAAAAAGGGCUAUACAAAUAUUUUAAAUACAUUUGAUUUGAUAUGCAGUAGCAGACCAAUACGAACCAGUCUGGUGGUUCAAAACAUGUUUAUGAAAAAUGUCCUUGCGCCUUACCCAUAGUAAGCACAGCUACAGUACCUACUAAAGAGUAAUGAAAAAAAUGUGUUUCGGGAUAUGGACAUUGUUUCCAUACUUAACUGACAUGUUGUCUAUGUCUACAAUUCACUGUUGAUAAUUGUACAUGUAACUUUUUUUCAAAGAUCAUUUGAAGAAAUGGCAAUCAAAAUAAACCAAUUAAAUUAAGUUGUGAGUAAAAAAUAUUUACUUUAUUUCAUAUCAGUGGCUGAUUUAUUUGAACAUCUGAAUGAAUGACUGAUGGUCUUGAAUUGCAAAUUGGUUAUGAUGUCUGGAUUUUUAUCAUAUUUUACAGUAGAUAAUAAAUGUCAAUAAAAAUAAUGUAUUCAGAAACUC